rnacentral:piRNA from 1 species
UAGAUGUGGCUGCCGCACAUUGUUUCCUAGU